rnacentral:rRNA from 1 species
AUUGAACGCUGGCGGCAGGCCUAACACAUGCAAGUCGAGCGGAUGACGGGAGCUUGCUCCUGGAUUCAGCGGCGGACGGGUGAGUAAUGCCUAGGAAUCUGCCUGGUAGUGGGGGACAACGUUUCGAAAGGAACGCUAAUACCGCAUACGUCCUACGGGAGAAAGCAGGGGACCUUCGGGCCUUGCGCUAUCAGAUGAGCCUAGGUCGGAUUAGCUAGUAGGUGAGGUAAAGGCUCACCUAGGCGACGAUCCGUAACUGGUCUGAGAGGAUGAUCAGUCACACUGGAACUGAGACACGGUCCAGACUCCUACGGGAGGCAGCAGUGGGGAAUAUUGGACAAUGGGCGAAAGCCUGAUCCAGCCAUGCCGCGUGUGUGAAGAAGGUCUUCGGAUUGUAAAGCACUUUAAGUUGGGAGGAAGGGCUGUAAGUUAAUACCUUGCUGUUUUGACGUUACCGACAGAAUAAGCACCGGCUAACUUCGUGCCAGCCGCCGCGGUAAGAC